rnacentral:rRNA from 1 species
GAUGAACGCUGGCGGCGUGCCUAAUACAUGCAAGUCGAGCGAACAGAUGAGGAGCUUGCUCCUCUGACGUUAGCGGCGGACGGGUGAGUAACACGUGGAUAACCUACCUAUAAGACUGGGAUAACUACGGGAAACCGGAGCUAAUACCGGAUAAUAUAUUGAUCCGCAUGGUUCAAUAGUGAAAGACGGUUUUGCUGUCACUUAUAGAUGGAUCCGCGCCGCAUUAGCUAGUUGGUAAGGUAACGGCUUACCAAGGCAACGAUGCGUAGCCGACCUGAGAGGGUGAUCGGCCACACUGGAACUGAGACACGGUCCAGACUCCUACGGGAGGCAGCAGUAGGGAAUCUUCCGCAAUGGGCGAAAGCCUGACGGAGCAACGCCGCGUGAGUGAUGAAGGUCUUCGGAUCGUAAAACUCUGUUAUUAGGGAAGAACAAAUGUGUAAGUAACUAUGCACGUCUUGACGGUACCUAAUCAGAAAGCCACGGCUAACUACGUG